rnacentral:rRNA from 1 species
GAGGGCAGCUACCCAGCGAUGGGAUGCGAAUCUCGAAAGCCUGUCUCAGUUCGGAUUGGAGGCUGAAACCCGCCUCCAUGAAGUUGGAUUCGCUAGUAAUCGCGCAUCAGCCAUGGCGCGGUGAAUACGUUCCCGGGCCUUGUACACACCGCCCGUCAAGCCAUGGAAGCUGGGGGUGCCUGAAGUUCGUGACCGGAAGGAGCGACCUAGGGCAAAACCGGUGACUGGGGCUAAGUCGUAACAAGGUAUC